UUAAAAAUGCCGCCGGAUUCAUGUCGGAUCCUCCAGAAAUGGUACAUUUUUUAGAGGAGUUGAGACGGUUGCGCCUGCAUUUUUGGAGAGUUCGAGCAACAUAUAUAGUACGUCUAGGUAAAUUAGUUGAGUUGCCACGAUGUCCUGUCAUUUUCUCUAAAUGGUAUAGUCAGCUUUUAUCUAGAUCAGCGAUUCUUGUCCUUAGGAUGGGAUUACACCAAUGUUCCCCUUCUGAGGAUGGGAUUGUCCUAGGAACUAUUCCACAUCAUCAGCAUGAUUAUUGCAUCUUCUUCCCUUGUUUUUGUGUCGCAUCGCC
rnacentral:lncRNA from 1 species